rnacentral:rRNA from 1 species
CCUACGGGUGGCUGCAGUGGGGAAUUUUGGACAAUGGGCGCAAGCCUGAUCCAGCCAUGCCGCGUGCAGGAUGAAGGCCUUCGGGUUGUAAACUGCUUUUGUACGGAACGAAAAGGUGCCUUCUAAUAAAGGGCGCUCAUGACGGUACCGUAAGAAUAAGCACCGGCUAACUACGUGCCAGCAGCCGCGGUAAUACGUAGGGUACAAGCGUUAAUCGGGAGUACUGGGGCGAAUUUGUGCGCAGGAGGUGAAAUCCCCGGGCUCAACCUGGGAACUGCCUUUGUGACUGCAAGGCUGGAGUGCGGCAGAGGGGGAUGGAAUUCCGCGUGUAGCAGUGAAAUGCGUAGAUAUGCGGAGGAACACCGAUGGCGAAGGCAAUCCCCUGGGCCUGCACUGACGCUCAUGCACGAAAGCGUGGGGAGCAAACAGGAUUAGAUACCCCUGAAGUC